UACGAAGGGGGCGAGCGUUGUUCGGAAUUACUGGGCGUAAAGCGUGCGUAGGUGGUUUGUUAAGUCUGUUGUGAAAGCCCCGGGCUCAACCUGGGAAUGGCAAUGGAUACUGGCAAGCUAGAGUGCGGUAGAGGGUAGUGGAAUUCCCGGGUGUAGCGGUGAAAUGCGUAGAGAUCGGGAGGAACACCAGUGGCGAAGGCGGCUACCUGGACCAGCACUGACACUGGAGGCACGAAAGCGUGGGGGAGCAAACAGGA
rnacentral:rRNA from 1 species